ACUUGCUUCUUCAGUAUAUAUGCUAAAUAAAAUGAUGCAGAAAAGCUUACCAUUGGCACUGUGCAAGGAUGCCAUGCAACUCUGUGAAGAAUUUCAUUUUAAU